AAUAAAUAAUAUAUAUAAAUAAAUUUGUAUCAAUACCUCCUGCUAAUACCUACAUGGACAUUUUCAGAAAUACAUAUGAAGAUAUUAUGGUACAGUAUAGCCAUAUUCUCACAUAUAUAAAAGGUAAAGACAACAUGUUUUAUGAGCGAUGUGUGUCAGAACAUGUUUAAAUCAGAAUCCUGUAUACCUUACUGUAAUAUAGCAUAUUUUUAAACAAAAACACUAAACUUUUUAACUUUAUAAUAAUCUUUAAUAAAAGCUUAAAGUUAUGUUCAAACAAAGUAAAAUAAUAGUUGGUUAGAAAAGUUAAUGUUUUUACUUUGUUAGGUAAAUAGACUGUUUGUUAGGUAAAUUAAUGGUCUGUUAGGUAAAUUGAUAGUUUGUAAACCAAGGUUAGCUAGAUAAAUGAAUGGUCUGUUAGGUAAAUUGAUAGUUUGUAAACCAAGGUUAUUUAUGGUUUGUUACGUUAAUCAAUGCAUGGUUAGUACUUAAGUCAGCAUAGUAUAGGGGCUAUACUGAUAUUGAGAUAUAAGGAGACCCAUCUUUAGAAGGACACAAGUUUUUCCAGAGUACAUUUAAUACUCUGUUUUCACAGAUAAUUCUUAUAAAACCUGGUACACACCUGUUAUUUAUUUUUCAUUUCAAUUGCAUAUUUCUCUUGGAGUCAUUACCUUUCUUAACUAGACGUUCAAGAUGAAUAACUUAACCACAGUAUAGAUGUAUCUAUUAUAUAUGUUUCAUUUUUCAUGAUUUUCUUAGGAGUAAUUACCUGUACUAUGGUAUUAAUAUAUGAUUAACAUUUUUUACAUCACUGUUUGGACCUCAAGAUAGAAAGCACAGGGAUCUGAGAAUUUGUUUUAGACUAAGUGACUGGGGCUAAUAUUAACACUCCAUUAAAAUGACACUGUUGACUGUAAAGACAAUUUUUACCGAAUGUUAGUUGAGCCCCUAUAAACAUUUAUGAAUGAUCAACACACACAAAGAUAGGUCCGUCACAUAUGCUAUAACCAAUUUUCAGGUCCCUGUGGUAUACCAUGUGGCUCACAUUUAUUGUCUCAGUAAUGAUCUAUGUCUAUGUUAUGGAUAAUCUCUCCGUCCAUUUACAUCCUACUUCUACUUUCUACUACUCCUUUUUUAGGUUCAGAAUUAAAUUUUCAGACUGAUUCAGUAUAACUGACAUGCCUUGUAUCCCUAUACUGUGUAGCUAUCAUUCUGAAGAAUCAAUAUUGAAUAAUCAGUUUUUCCAGUAUUAAAAAGAAUAAUCUUUUUUUUUUUUUUUUUUACUAUUUUAUCACUCAUUACUGGUAUGUAAAUUAUUAUCAUAAAUUCCGAGAUGAAAUGCCAGAGAGUGUCAUCAUGAAUUAGGUAAAAUUGAUAUGAGAGUGAAAAUCAAAUGUAUAUCCUUUUUUUAUUACAUUAAAAGUCCUAAAUUUAAUGCCUACAUUAAAUUGAUAAUUUGGUGUUAUUUCUGAACUGGUUAGUUUUUCAAAAGAAACACAUUGAUGGAGGAAAUAUUUUUCAAUACGCUUCUUCACAAUGAUCAAUACCAGUAGGGCAAAUCUAAUAACAAUUGUAUUCUUGUAGUAGUGUGUACCCUGUUGGCCUAAGUUUCCUAUUCCCAUUCCACAGUUAUUUAUAUAAUCUUUUAUUGCACUCUCUUUAAGCUAAAUAAUAUACUUACAACAACAAUUAUGAUACCAGCCUUUCUGUUAAGUGAGAAUCAGGAACUGCAGUAUACAGUAAGGAGAGUAUUUUUUUCUUUUCUUUUAAAAAAAAAAUAUAUUCAAAAGGGAAAAAGGAGAGAGAUUUAAAUUACUACAAAAAAACAUGAGUUCAAUAAAUUAUACAUAAAACAG